ensembl:lncRNA
CACAGCUGUACGCCAUUCGUCCGGUGUGAAAGACGGCUAACGGGACAAAGGGCACGAGUGAGGAGAGGGAAACGAGGGAGAGAUGCUCGCUGAAUCGCCCAGCCCACCCCUGUGCAGGACGGGGAGCACCUCUCUUCCUCUCUGCUCAUAGCCGCUUUCUCCCGGCCCUCAGCCAUUUUGGAGAGAGCAAAAAGUGGCUGCUUUCUCUCUCCCUCUCUCACUACGUGGCAUAGCUUUAGAAAGGUUUCGGCUGCUGUGUUUGUAGCAGCAGAGAAGACACACUUUGCAGCUUGCACUUUGGGAGAUAUUAUGUUUGCAGAGAAAAAAUUCUGACGCGAAAACAAAACCCUUCCAUCUCGACUUUUUAUUUUUUAAUGAAUUUUUCCUUUUUUUUUCGUUUCCCUUGAAUUCAGCUGCUAAGCCUCUCUCCUCCUUGCUGUGCACUUUUCACUCAUGCUGUUUCCUUUUCUUUAAUAACUUGCGCUGUAGUUUUGGUGGCCGGUCCAAUCCCUCUUUUCUUUUUUAAAGUCAUGUUUUCUCAUCUCUCAAUUUGAGUUUUUUUUUUUAUGUAACAGAGUUCAAGACAAAGGGAUAUGUCCAUAUUUUGGCAGCGCUAAGAAGAGACAGAGCAGCAGCCAAGGAUCCUGCUGGGAUCCAAAAAAGCCAAGCAGAAUGAAGCACCAAAAAAAAAAAAAAAGAAAACACCACCCUUUCCUUUGCUUGGUCAGAAAUUCCACUUUCUCUGUAGCCAGCCCUGCGCUGCCACUCCUCCUCAUCCACAUCUUACCGCAUUCAACCUUUUGCCAUUUCUCUCUUGCCGUACCUUUUUUUUUAAAGCCGAUUUGAGGUUUUUGUACCCCGGAAAAUGGGGACUGGACAACGGGUUAUGAGUGCGUAACUAGGAGAGAACAAGGGGAUGUUUUCUUCUUACUUUCGGUUGUGAUUUAGCGUUUUUUUUUUUCUGCUAUUAGUGUUAUUAUUGUUGUGCUUCUUAUAGUUUUUAGUCGUUUGUGUUUUUAAGGGUGUGCUUGGAUCACCACGUGUUUGUGUGGUUUUGGGAAUGUGUGUGAACGGGUGUAUACUCCCUGUGAAUGUUAGACUUGCUGCUCUGUUCCCAAUCAGUUUCUGAUGAUUUACAUUCUGCUUUUUUUGUUGUUGUUUUGUUUUGGGGUUUUUUUACAUUUUUAUUUUAGGUUUCUUGAUUUCUCCUAAAGCGUUGGCCUACACUUCUCUUCGAGCCUGACUUCAUCUGAGUGUAGAGGACGUUUGACCACCAGGUCCAGCUUAUGCCUUACUGUCUUGCAUGUCUGAGCAGCAGACGGCUAGACGGCACCAAUCUGCUAGAGCAGGCUCAUGUGCUAGCCCGAAUUAUCCAUUCAACAAAGCCUGAGCUAGCAGCACUAAAAUCUUCCCCUAUUCUUCUCUCCAGCAUUCAUUUUUUUCUCCCCUCUCUCUCUCCGAUUUGUGCCCUGCUACAUCCUCUCUCCCUUUGCUAGGCUGACCGGCACAGGCGUACAGAGAAGACUGCGGCAGCCUCCGCCACCUCGGUCAGCUGGAGCUUGCUACACUCGCUGCUGCACACCGCCGCCAUCUUGUUACUGCCUGUGCUACUGGUCUGCCUGCCUUUGCUGCACUCAAACCAAAUCAUCAAACUCAGCCUGCGGUUGUUUCCAUGCCACUCCUGUUUGUGCGCAGCUUUGUCACAACGCAGUGCUGCGCACCAGCUACCGGACGUUGCUGCACAGAAGCACCUGGAACUUUUAUCUGGGUGUUUCUUUAAUAGCUGCCACAGAUUGGAUGCUGCAGACGGUGUUGUCAGCAUCUCUCAAACCAUCAGUAAGAUCUGUACCAUUGUAACACACACUAUGCCCGAUGUAGAUUUAGCUAAGGACUUGACAUGCCGUACACCAUUAAAACAAGUAAAAAUAAGUGAAAUGUUAUUUUACAAAUUUACAAAUGAUUCAAAGUGGCAUGUCUUCUUCGCAGGAUUUAAGAAAAUUGCUCCCGUCGAAGAAAAUCAAUAACCACAAUCUGUCCCUUAUUCUGUGUAUAUAUUUCUCUCCAGAGCCCAUAUGCCUGAGCACAUAUACUGUAUAUGCUAUCUUUGUGAGCUUGUGUGCUGUAAAGAGAGGGUGGGAAAGAGAAAGGAGGGGAGUGAGAGAGAAAGAGAGGAAUCAAGCGUCGGUAAGAAAGUCUUCCUAAUUCUGUUUGGCAGAAACUGUGCUGUUUAACCAUAUGUGCAGAGAGCAGGCUUUGCACAUGCUCAGAAUGACUCAGAGGACACGACUUUCACAUGUCUCAACGCAAUUAGAUUAACUAAUAGAUAAUUUUCCAGCAAAUAUAAAUAAGUUACAGUGAAGUCAUAAAUAAUUUAAAAAGUGUGCACUCUACCUUGAAUUAUUUUUGUUGUACUCACAGUAUGAGGUUAAAACAUGGGCAUUAGAAGGAGAGCGGGAUACAAACACAGCAAGUAUAUUCCAGCUUAUGGAAAUCUUAUUCCUGCAUUUAACUGUGCUUUGGUGCAAAACAAGUGGAAGUGUGUAGGUGGAGGCCACAGUGAUACAGCAGUGAGUUCAGAAGGUCUUCAAUCCUCUAAGACUAUAUGCCAAGAAGACACCAUGCUAAUGAAAUCAUAAAGACGGUGAAGAAAACAAGCUGUCCCUGGAGAAUACAUCCAUGCAUCGGAGGUUGCCAGUUUUACUUUACUUGCUUCUGGGUAUGCAUGUACUGUAGCUUUGCAGUGAUACUGUAUUUAUAAGGUCAAAGGCUGCUUUGCUUCAGGGUUAAAAUGCUCUCAGCCUUUAUCUUAUGAUUACCUUCAUCAGGUCAGUGAAGAUCACCCUUUGCCCCACCAGCUGAGUGGGACAGCGGGUUACAAGAGGUAUGCAAAUCACAGUAAUAUUUAUUAUGUAUAACAAGGAAGAAAAUGUAAAAAAGAAGAAGAGUUUAAAUCACUGCUGAUAUUCCUAUGAAAUACAGGGUACAAUUAGAAUGAGAUAGAAAUGAUCAAGAUGCAAUUAACGUUCAUACUUUAAAUAUUGGACAGAAAUAUGACGUUGAAUAAUUUUGGCCACUUUUAUACACAGUCCGCCAUCUUUAGGUGCUUAAAUGCAGUCGAACGAACGCUCGUUAUAAGUUGGGGGCGGUUACAGUUACAGAACCAGCAGUUCUGGCCUAUUCAGAGAGCUCAGGUGGUGGAGCAGGUGGUGGAGCAGGUUUGGGCAGGACACUGAACCCCUAGUUGCUCUCGAUGGCAGAUGAGCUGUCUGAACACGUGUGGCCUAUAAAUGCCGAUCGUCUAAAAUUUGUACUUUUAAUACUUUGUCAGGAAUCAUUUGCGGGCAGUCUGAUUUCUGAAACCUUCGGAUAUUAAUGCUUCUGCGUUUCUGCAGUUGUUUGUUUACGCGUCUUGUUAUCAGGGAGUGAAAUUCAUACUCAGUCAGACUGAGAUUGGCCGAGAAAGUUAAAUUGUCUGCAUCAUGGUUGACUAUAAUCAAUGCUGACAUUGCUUGUUGUCCUCAUUGUGUAAGGACGGAAUCAUUAGAAACACCAAGUAACAGCGUAUUACGUAGAGAGCAAAGAAUUCGUAGUUUAUCGAGCUACCAGGUCUCACGCAGAGUUAACUUUGAAUUGAUGAUUAAAAGCAAACAAUAGUCAACUGAUAGUUUUCAUGAAUGUUAUUAAUCUAGUUUAAAAUUUCAAAUUCAGUUGGAGUUUCAGAGACUUCAGAGCAGAUCGCUGAAACAAUACCGAAGCAAUAUUGCUGCAUUUUAAAUCCGUCCGUCCAAGUCAUCUUUAGGCAAAAUGCAGGAUAUACUGUGGACUCAUUACCAGUCUAUCACGUGGCUAAUACAGAACACUUGCAGUCCAUCAGCUAAGAAUGGCUGCAUGAUUAAAUCCCAUUUAGAGGAAUUAUUCACUGUCAAAAAGUCCAAUUUAUGCAGAAAGCACAUAAGAGCAAAUAUGAAUUUCUUACUGGAAGGUAAGCUCCAUACUGGAACAUCACAAUACAAGUUCAGAGAGCCUGUCCAAUGAAAUAAUUCAUUAUAAUCCAAAGUGAGCCUUCAUCAGCCUGGGAGUUGUCCUGCUAUGUUUUUAUGAUCCAGUUAACAGAAAUAAAGCCCUCAACUCUCCGGCUUGAGUAAUGACGUAAGCAGUUAACGAUUGGAAGAAUUUCUUUUUGGACAAGAGCGGAGGACGUUGAUCAUUCAGGGUCAACAAUGAGCGCCUCAUUUGUUCUUUUUUUCCCCAUUUGUAGUAUAAAUAGAAGCAGUUCAGCCUUCAGUGGAGAGUUUGUGGAGCAUACUUACUGAGUGUCGAAUGCAAAGAUGUUGCAUUCUUUAUUAUUCCAUAUCAACUGUCCUGGAAUCCGUUACACCAUUUCCCAGAAUUGCAGUCCAAAAAGUAUGUAAAUCCCAGCUGGGAAUGGGUGUAGAAUCCCAAGGUUUGUGCACGUGACAUGAACUAUUCAUUCUUCUUCUUUUUCUGUCAAAGCAUGACUUCUUAAAAAGAGUUACAGGUGUAUCUGGGCCCACCUUCUUGUUACAUAUAUAUAAUGCACAGCUGUCAAAAGUAAAUAAAGUAGAAAUCACAAACGUCCUUUGUUAGGUGUUCACAUUUAAUUGCUCCUUCAGAAAUAAAUGCAAAAUCUUUGGAAAACAGGAUAAUCUGCUAACAAGUGCCAUUUCCUUACCCAGAGGACCCAUACUUGAGACUUUGUUUCUCCCAGAAUACAAUGUUUCCUCAUUUUCAGUGAGGAACCAACCAAAAACCAAAAGGUUUUGACAUUCAUUGUUCUCCCAGAAGAUGCAUCUGCAGGCAAUCCCUAACUUUCUCCUCUAGUGCUACCAGCACAAUGAUGUACAGGUGUAUGUGGUUUUAAAAUUCAUAAGUCACCAAAUACUGGAUGGAUUUCCAUUAAAGUUUGUGCCGAUAUUCAUAUCCUUCAGUGUACCUGUCUGCAUUUUUUUAAAAAGUGUCCUGUGUUCCAGUAUUUUGGCUUGCGAUUAAACAACUGCAAAGCUAGUGAUUUGCUGCAUUACUUACAUAUUGCAGUCAUGAAUAAGAGAAGAGACUAGUCUUUCCUGGUAGACUGCAGUGAAUUAUCUUCACAGCAGCAGAGUAGACAUAGAUUGCAUGACAUGGUGCAGUUUGCACAUGGAAUGCAGAAAGAUUUCAGGCACUGAGUGAUGAAGGCCAGAUGUUUGAGUUAUGCAUAGGAAGUCAGUGGCCUACAGUUGGUACUGUAUGAAGCGAUGAUGCCAGAAACCAUCGCCGGCAUAUACCAUGUAAUUAAAUUUAAGGAAGCCCACUCACAUAUUACAGCUUGUAUAUAAAAGCAAUACAUGUUCCAGGUUUGAAAAAAACAGACAUCAAAAAACAUUACAUAAACACAAGUGCCUAAAUAAAAAUAGAAACGGUAUAUGAGUAAGAGGUGUUGCUUAUGAUUCACCUGGUUACAGUUUGCAUAGCAACUAAUUCUAGUUUUUUUAUAUAUAUAUAUAUAUAUAAAGUUUUGCUCAAAAAUAAAAAAUAAAGAAAAGCUUAAGAGUCUGAGAGGUUGUUGUGAAUGUUGUGGAUUUAAUGAUUGGUCAAAAAUAAAUAAAACAUAAAUAUAAGCGAGGUCAUUAUAUCGAUAUCUUCAAUUUUGUCCUUCAUUUGUAGAUGUUACGGAAAUUAAUCUUUUUAAACUUGGAGAAAAGAAACAAGUUCAAAAGAGGACUUGUUUACCAGAAAAUAUUCCUUGCACAUUGAUUUGCAGCACGCAGUGUGGUUACAUUAUUAAACUAUAGACACCCAGCAAUGGUAAAUAUAUACUGAAACUUACCUCCUCCUCCUAUAGACGGUUUUCUCUUGUUCUUUCUCCCUCCUUUUUGUCUCGUCUUGCACACAGUUACACAUGCACACUCCCAGCCUGUCUGCGUCUCACACUCAAACACGCACACACACACACACGCACACACACGCACCGUCUUUUGUUUGGAGUCAGACGGCAUUGAAGGCAGAUCCUGUGGCCCUUCUGAGGAGAAUGUUAAUAUGCCCGCUCUGGUCUCUCUGGGGACGCAGAGAAUGGACUCGGGCUGCUAAUGCACUGUCACACUAACCCCGCUAAGUAUUCUCACAGUUAGCAACAGCAGCGCUGCUCCCAGAACUGAAAUGUAUUUAACUAAACUCGCAACCUACUGAAUCGUAAAGACUUACUUUAGAUUGUCCUUUCACAAAUAACUGCCUCAUUUGCCCACCUUUCUGUGCCUGCAAACAGAGAUAUGGCAGGUGGGCUAUUUGUUGAGUGCAGUUAGACUUAUUUCACUUUCAUUAGCACUUUAUUUAUGUGGACUCAUUAGGGGCAGUUUGCUCCCCCACACUGAGGUAGGCUUAAUGGAUUAUACUAACGACCUACACAAGCACACGGUAUUCAGUUACAUGUAGAGUUUAAACAAGUCAAAUUAUCUUUAAAGAGUUUGGGCUCGGUAUCGUUUUUGCUAACUUUGGCUAAAGGAUGUAUUUUUGCUUGUGGUUCAGUGAAAUCCUGCUAUUCGAACUGUGGUCACCUGAGUGGAAGGAAAAUGUUCCCCACUUACCAAACUGGUGUGAGGAGUAACUAUGUUUUCAUUUAUGUCAUGAAUAAAAUAAAACUAUUUUUGCUAUUUAAGAGCAUUAAAAAUGAAAAAUAAAUUAAUAACAUUUACUUCAUGUUGUAUAUUGGCUGUGGUCAUUGUGUCCAUGUGCUGAGCCUGUGGAUCACAGUUGCAUGCAGUAAUAGUCAAAGGAUAUUUAAGGUAUUACUAUAUAAACUAUGUAUUAUCAUGGAUUAAAUAUAUUAUAUAAG